GUGCAAGCUAACAUGCAGUCGAACGAAGCUUGGAGAAUGAUUUCUUCGGAAUGAAAUCUGAUAUGACUGAGUGGCGGACGGGUGAGUAACGCGUGAGCAACCUGCCCUUCGGAGGGGGAUAGUGUCUGGAAACGGACAGUAAUACCGCAUAACGUAUUUUUACCGCAUGGUAGAAAUACCAAAACUGAGGUGCCGAAGGAUGGGCUCGCGUUGGAUUAGAUAGUUGGUGGGGUAACGGCCUACCAAGUCGACGAUCCAUAGCCGGACUGAGAGGUUGAACGGCCACAUUGGGACUGAGACACGGCCCAGACUCCUACGGGAGGCAGCAGUGGGGAAUAUUGCACAAUGGGGGAAACCCUGAUGCAGCAACGCCGCGUGAAGGAAGACGGUUUUCGGAUUGUAAACUUCUGUUCUUAGUGAAGAAGAAUGACGGUAGCUAAGGAGCAAGCCACGGCUAACUACGUGCCAGCAGCCGCGGUAAUACGUAGGUGGCAAGCGUUGUCCGGAAUUACUGGGUGUAAAGGGAGCGCAGGCGGGAAGCCAAGUCAGCUGUGAAAACUACGGGCUUAACUUGUAGACUGCAGUUGAAACUGGUUUUCUUGAGUGAAGUAGAGGUUGGCGGAAUUCCGAGUGUAGCGGUGAAAUGCGUAGAUAUUCGGAGGAACACCGGUGGCGAAGGCGGCCAACUGGGCUUUAACUGACGCUGAGGCUCGAAAGUGUGGGGAGCAAACAGGAUUAGAUACCCUGGUAGUCCACACUGUAAACGAUGAUAACUAGGUGUGGGGGGUCUGACCCCUUCCGUGCCGCAGCUAACGCAAUAAGUUAUCCACCUGGGGAGUACGACCGCAGG
rnacentral:rRNA from 1 species